rnacentral:lncRNA from 1 species
UGGCUAAAAAGAAUAUGGACUCUAAAAUACAGCUCCGGUUUAACAUGAGAUUUUGCACAAUUGAUCAUUCGUAUGAGUAGUAGACAAAAUUAUACACAAACAACAGACUGAACCAGUUACUUUUGAUAUUCCUCCCUAUAAUUCACGAGGAAAGAAGUCUUUGCUCUGGCUGAGCCACGUCAUUCAAUCUUUUGAUCUUCAAAACGUCAACCCUCCAAUCAAGUAUACCAUCGCUGAUUUUAUGAUGAUGUUCUUUUUACCUAGGGUGAUUUUAUCUUAUUUUUGUAACAAUUGGGAACAGGCCCCAUUUUUUCCUGUGCUCUAUGUGGAAACACUCUCGGAGGCAAAUUCUGAUUUUACUUAGCGCUGUAGGGAUUCGAUACUUAGCCUCUAGAUUGCUCCUGUGAGGCCUUAGCCACCACCAGUAAGGGUGCAACCAGUUUACGUGAUGAGUUAGCAAUUAAAAUCAAGAUACUACUUACCCGCAAAAAAAAAAAAUCAAGAUACUACACAUAUGCCGACACGACCGAUAUAUCAGCAUCAGUGGCUAACCAGUACAGAUAUAGCAUUUCAUUUCAUAAAUAUCGUUCUCACACAUAUCGACCAACAUGGCCGGUAUUUGACAAUAUGUCCACCGAUAUAGACUAAUACGUCAAUGCCAAAUAAUUCUUCUUAAAGAAGCAUUAGUAAAAAAAAAUCAAGAACCAAGCAAUGGCCGGUUGGUUAGGGCACAUGCCCAUGAGCCCACCCACCCGCGUUCGAGGCCCAGACUUUGCAGGGUGCGUCACCUCUACCUAACAAAUGUACAGGGGGGGGGGGGUCCCCCUUUAACGAAGGUUUUUUUAAACAAAAAUUAGCAUUUACACCUUCAUGCAACUAUCAAGUUUAUGCCUAACUUCUGUAAAUAAGCAUAUGUAUGAUGUCCUUUCUCAUGUUACCAUAAAGAUUUUGUGAGUCUUUAAUAAUUUAUUUCGCAAUCGACCAGUCAGUAAACUUGGAAUCAUAUGUCUGCCAUGCUCAAGGACCAGCACCAUACAUUUUAUUUGUACUAAAAAUGCAUGAAAUGAGCAAUUGUCGUAACUAAAAUAAGGCAGAUACUUCUCCCUCCAAUGUAAUUACAUACCGUCCGACAUCCGAUACGCGGAAGCUAGACGGAUAUGGACUAGUAGAUGUCUGGUAUUUCGAACCUUGGUUAAAACUAUGUUUGGAUACAAAUUCAACCUCAUCUCUCACUUCUGGACCACCAAACACCAGCAAAGGAUGAACUAGUUCAUCCAGAACAGAACCAAGAUGAUCGGAUGAACUGCAAACAACAGAAAGAAAGAUAGCGCGAGUAACACACAUCAGAUAUUGCUUCGAAACAGACACGGCCUCCAUUAAAAUCAUUCCUUUUUUACAAAUUCAACUUCACAGAAGGUCGUGGAACAGAAAACGGCGGAGGGGGGAGGCGCUCAUUGCCAACUAGUGCUAAGAACAGACCCUUGGUAGUGCUAGAAGAGAAAAGUGUCACUCUCCACCACCAAUUUCCCCUCCGCCACCAAAGGUCCUCAAUUCCUAAAUCCUAAUCGAAGCAGGGCCGCGACCAUAAUACCACACAACAACAGCGGCAGCAAUGCAGGAACUUGGACAAGAAAAAAAAAUCAUUAUUUGCGCAAGAAUCCCCUGGACAAAUCGCACCGACAGACGGCGGCUGGAUCCAUCCAUGGUAAGAACCCCAGAAAAGCAACUGAGGAAGAGAGAUUAUGCAUAACUUCAUCAAAUGAUCAAAAUUAUGCAUAACUUCUGUAAAUAAGCAUGUGUGUGUAUAUAAUGCCCUCCGUUAUGUUACCGUAAGGAUUUUGUGAGUCUGUCUUGAAUAGUUUAUUUCGCGGUCAACCAGACAGCAAACUUGGAAUGAUAUACCCCGUAUUUGCCAUGCGCAAGCACCGUUCGUUCAAUUUGGUGCCGAAAAGGCAUGGUAUAAGUAAGGCUAACCAAAACAAGACAGACAUUUUUCCAUCCCAUAUAACCACACGCAUAUCCGACAUUGGAUGCAUCGAAGCGAGACCGAUAUGGACCCGAAUAUCCGGUACUCCGAACCUGGGUUAACCCUAGGUGUUGGUGCGGAUACAUAUUCGACCUCAGCUCUCAUUUCUGGACCAACAAACACCAGACAGAGGAUGAACUAUCCAUCAUGAACAGACACGAGACGAAUGGAUGAACUGCGAAGAAACAGAAAGAUAACGCGAGCAACAGACAAGCCAGUCUGCACACAUUAAAACCGUUCCUUUUUUGCANNNNNNNNNNNNNNNNNNNNNNNNNNNNNNNNNNNNNNNNNNNNNNNNNNNNNNNNNNNNNNNNNNNNNNNNNNNNNNNNNNNNNNNNNNNNNNNNNNNNUUACAUGGGUACAUAUGACAUCGGAUGGUCCAGGAAUUCGGCUGAUUUUGUUUCCCUUUGCGAGAGGAAACUCUGGUGGAGGGCCCACACCGAGCUGCUUAUUUAUUUUGUUCCUGUUCUAUUAAUACGAUUUUUCAUUCUGUCUGUCUCAAUCUAUCUUUUCGUUUUUUGACAAUUCGUCCCAAUAUUUCAUCUUAUUUUUUAAAUAAUAUGUCCUUGUCUAUCGUUUUUUUAUAACCUAUCUCAAUCUUAUCAAAAUUUGAGAGCGGCGAUUACCACGAUGGGCGCAUCAACGCGUGGAAGGGCUCGAGGAAGCGACGCGUGGAGUGCUUGGAAUUUUUUCCACGGUUUUUUUAUCUGGUGUUUUCUUCUCUUUUGGGUUUUUCUUGAUUUUUUCUCUUAUUGUUUUCAUUUUCCUUCUUUCUGUCUAGUUUUCUUAUGCUGUCACGUGUACAACAUGGAUGUAUGUGUAUAUGUUGCUAUGCGGUGUUGACAUGUUUAUAGGUGGUUGUUAAACUACCUGCGAGUACACUGGCAGUGAAUAGUAAAAGUAUUUUACCACGUGAAGUACAUGUAUGCUAUAGUGGAAGUACAAGCUUAUUAUUGUUCGAAGUACAAGUUACGUCCCAAAAAGAUCGACGAGACCUAUGAACAUGGGAUCUAUUUCUGAAGAUCUCAACAUGAGUAACACAUCGGUGAGAUACUUUGAUUUGAAAUUUGGAUCUUAUGUUUUUUUAUGGGAAGAGAUGGCAUGAUGUGUAAUUUUUUGUUCAAAGUGAAUAUCAAGUGCUACAUAUGUUCCAAACCGUGGAGCACUAAAGUUUACGGUUGUCCCUGGUUUAAACUUGUUCUAAAGAAAUUUUGUGUCGUAGAUGCUGCCAUGCUAGUAUUCUCUUUUACAAACAUGGUUAUAUUUAGAAGAAUCUUAACUGAUGGCACAACUAUCUAUGUAAGUGCGUUCUUAUUCUGAACCGAUGUGAGUAGUAUGGAUAGAUAUACAAUUUCUCUGGCCCGUGCUAGACAAGAAUGAAGAACAAAAUAACAACCACCCUAUCAAUCUCAUCUUUUUAUCUGGGCAUAAUAAAGAAGUACUCCCUCCGUCCCAUAAUUCUUGUCUUAUAUUUGUCUAAAGAUGAAUGUAUCUAGUCACAUUUUAGUAUUUAGAUACAUAUAUUUUUAGACAAAUCUAAGACAAGAAUUUUGGGACGGAGGGAGUAAUAAAUAUCCCCUGCAAAAAAAAGAGUAAAUAUGGACCGACUGUUUGUUUGACUUUGACAUGUGGACUUAUAAGUAUGCUUUGUCAAUUCAAGUCCAUAUAAUCAACUGUCGAGUAGAACAAAAUUAUGUUUUCUCCUUCACCAGUCACCGAAAGGAGACAACAACCAUGACAGGGCACAUUCUAUGCAACUGGAUGCUUGAAAAGAACAGAAAAGAUAUCGGCGACGACGGCGGUGGCGCUGUUCCGGCCUUGUGAUCCAUCUUCAGCUUUGGCGGGGACGAUGGCNNNNNNNNNNNNNNNNNNNNNNNNNNNNNNNNNNNNNNNNNNNNNNNNNNNNNNNNNNNNNNNNNNNNNNNNNNNNNNNNNNNNNNNNNNNNNNNNNNNNCUCCGGUUUAACAUGAGAUUUUUGCACAAUUGAUCAUUGUAUGAGUAGUAGACAAAAUUAUACACAAACAACAGACUGAACCAGUUACUUUUGAUAUUCCUCCCUAUAAUUCACGAGGAAAGAAGUCUUUGCUCUGGCUGAGCCACGUCAUUCAAUCUUUUGAUCUUCAAAACGUCAACCCUCCAAUCAAGUAUACCAUCGCUGAUUUUAUGAUGAUGUUCUUUUUACCUAGGGUGAUUUUAUCUUAUUUUUGUAACAAUUGGGAACAGGCCCCAUUUUUUCCUGUGCUCUAUGUGGAAACACUCUCGGAGGCAAAUUCUGAUUUUACUUAGCGCUGUAGGGAUUCGAUACUUAGCCUCUAGAUUGCUCCUGUGAGGCCUUAGCCACCACCAGUAAGGGUGCAACCAGUUUACGUGAUGAGUUAGCAAUUAAAAUCAAGAUACUACUUACCCGCAAAAAAAAAAUCAAGAUACUACACAUAUGCCGACACGACCGAUAUAUCAGCAUCAGUGGCUAACCAGUACAGAUAUAGCAUUUCAUUUCAUAAAUAUCGUUCUCACACAUAUCGACCAACAUGGCCGGUAUUUGACAAUAUGUCCACCGAUAUAGACUAAUACGUCAAUGCCAAAUAAUUCUUCUUAAAGAAGCAUUAGUAAAAAAAAAUCAAGAACCAAGCAAUGGCCGGUUGGUUAGGGCACAUGCCCAUGAGCCCACCCACCCGCGUUCGAGGCCCAGACUUUGCAGGGUGCGUCACCU